rnacentral:rRNA from 1 species
UUUAAUAUUUAAAGUCUAACCUGCUCAAUGAUAAUUUAAAUAGCCGCAGUAUUUUGACUGUGCAAAGGUAGCAUAAUCAUUAGUUUUUUAAUUAAGAACUUGUAUGAAUGGUUGAAUGAGAAAUAAGCUGUCUCUAGUUAAUUUUAUUAGAAUUUUAUUUUUAAGUUAAAAAGCUUAAAUUUUUAUUAAAGACGAGAAGACCCUAUAGAGUUUAAUUUAUUUUUUUAUUUAAUUAAUUUAGUAUUUAAAUUUUUUUAUGAAAAUAAAUUUAGUUGGGGUGAUUGAAAGAAUUAAUAAACUUUUUUUUUAAUUAAACAUAGAUUAAUGAUUUGUUGAUCCAAUUUUAUUGAUUAAAAGAUUAAAUUACCUUAGGGAUAACAGCGUAAUUUUUUUUGAGAGUUCUUAUCGAAAAAAAAGUUUGCGACCCGAUGUUGGAUUAAAAUUUAAAG